UGGCGGCGUGCCUAAUACAUGCAAGUCGAGCGAAUGGAUUAAGAGCUUGCUCUUAUGAAGUUAGCGGCGGACGGGUGAGUAACACGUGGGUAACCUACCCAUAAGACUGGGAUAACUCCGGGAAACCGGGGCUAAUACCGGAUAAUAUUUUGAACUGCAUAGUUCGAAAUUGAAGGCGGCUUCGGCUGUCACUUAUGGAUGGACCCCGCGUCGCCAUUAGCUAGUUGGUGAAGGUAACCGCCUCACAAGCCGACGAUCCUAACCCACCCCUGGAGGGG
rnacentral:rRNA from 1 species